CACUUCUGAGUGGCAAGUGUAGGCGGUAAUAUCGAUGUUGGCCUCAGAAGGUUUUUUUUUUCCUGUUGAAAGAAUUAAAUGAACAUUGAGGAUUACCAUAAUUCAUUGUGUGCCACAGAGGCUCACAGAAAAGAAGCCGAGAACGACACUUUGCGUGAGAGAUAUUUACUAGGACAUUGUUCUCCCUGUUAGUGUUUGCUCUUUGUUAGCAAGGGUGGGGGGACCCUCUUAUAUUCAGAAAUAGAUCCUGCAAAAUAAAGUGGUGCAGUAUAAUGGCCAGUAUAAUAGGUUUUGCUGUGAUCACAACUGAGACGUUGCAUAGUGUAUGUAGGCACAGUUUAAUGCAAAAUCCAUUUCUGACAGUGUAAUUCCCCCUUUUUUAAAAAAAAAGGAAAGGAAAAUACUUUGCUCCUCUGUAGGUUUAUUCUUGCUUUAUAAUGAGCACAAAGAAAUCUUUACUUGAUUUAUUUUCCCAACACAUGCUCAGGUUUGAAUUCUCCCUCUAAAAUAAAUCAAGCUCUCUACAGAAACUUUCGCUUUGACUCAUCAAUUAAGAAAAGAAGGGGAGGAAAGCCACAGCAACUGCUCUAAUUGUUGUGAACGCCUAAUAAGCAUGAUCCAUAUAAGAACACAGAUUUUAGGGUGCAUGUGGUUUUCCUUUUGUUUUGUCUGAGAUAGAGGAUAAGCUGAGGAAAUAUUGUUGCAAUACUAUAUUGGGAACAGAGGAGGCAUUUGCUGGGUCCAUAUUGCAAAGUAGACUCACAUGAUCAAUAUAUUCUGGAGUGAUUUGCUGAUCUGAAUGUAGUCCUUAUUUGGAAUCCUUAUUUGUGAAUUACAUUAGGUAGCGUGUAUACACAGGGUUGGCUCAAGACAUCUUGCUGCCUGAAGCAAAGGACAAGAUUGUGUCCCCUUCCCAUUCCAGACACAGAGCGGCAGCUGAAUCCUACUUCAACUCUGGUGAUGGGAUAGAAUGCAGGUUUAGGUAGCCCAGGACGGGAUGCAUAGCACACUCAGAUCUGUCUUCCAACAGAGGGGAUGACUGGAGGUCUUAGGAGGAACACCCAAGAGGCUGCUUCUGACCCCGCGACUCUGACACUUUAGGCCUCACUUUGCCUAAUGGUAGGGCUGCCCCUGGGUGUAUAUAUUGUUACAAGCCAUCCCAAUCUCUGAGCGGUGCAAGAUUCCAGGGGUUCCAGGUGCACUUACCAGGGUUUGUGUAUCCUUUUGGAAAACAUGAGGGACAGAGGGGACUGUGGUGCCUUUAUGAUAUAUGGUUUGUUUACAUAUAUAUACAACCUGCACUUAGAUGGAGAGUAUGCAGAACUUUCGCAUCCCUUCCAUUGCUGCAGCCCCCAUUUCAAAGAGAACCCAACCAUUGUGUCUGACCCUCUGACUAGCUGAUCAGUAGCGCCUGUAAGCCCUCUUUGACCCAGCCACACCUUUACCUGUUCCUGACAUCAUAUAUUACAGUGGGCCACAGGUUCUGAACCUUGUGCUAGGGCAUGGGAGCAUCUGAAAUAAGCCUAGAAUUCGACUGAUAUUACUGAGGUACUUCCUUUUUUGUAGGCUAUUCCUAAUGAAUCUGUCUUGCUGUGCAAAGGCAUAAAAACCGUGAACAAAGAAGCAGAUAGGCUCCUAUCUUAACAAAGGUAAGGAAAAGCUAAUCUCUAUUAAUUUGUUUUUCAAAAAAGAAAAACUUUUCUCAAGGGCCUUAAGUGACAGGAAAGAAACUUUUUUUGUAAGAGGAGCUGAAUUUUAAGAAUAAAUUUAAAAGUUAAAGUGCACCAGAUUAAUCACCACCCUUGUAGCUCAUUUGCAGAAGCACUGAAGCAGCCUACAAAGCUUAUACUAAUCUGUUUUCAGUCCCGGUAUCUUCAUUUCUUACAAAUUAAAUAUAUUCAGUGUCAAUGCAGAAUUAAGGUUUUUUUAUGUGUAUGAAAUGAAGGAAGGAAGGAAGGAAAAAAACUGUAUGGAGGAAUUUAUAACACUGUUUUCCUGCAAGCUAUCAGAAAUAUAUAUAUAUAUAUUUAUCAGCAUUCAUUCUCCCAAGCCCCCUCCUGCAUUUUCUGACUUGAUUUGACGCUAAAGCCACUGAAUAAGGUCUGAAUUUUCACGAGCUGGAAGCAUUAUAAAUUGCAGUGUUAACAAAUGCCUGGACCUGAAAUGAACUGAGCCAAAUUAGAUACAGACCUAGGUUGGAUCCAAAGCACUUUGGAGUUACUGAGAGCUUUUCCAUUGACCUUUGUUAAAACCUGGUGCAGCUUCAGUAGUUUUAAUGGGGUUGGAGUUGCUGCAGAAUAACUGCGUUCUCAUUCAUAUGAACUCAUGCAAUUCUCUUGCUAGGGGUAGCACAAUAGAUAAUGAAAGGCAAUGAAGGCCAGUCCUAAUGGGGCUCUUUUCUGUAUUAUAGUAGGAAUCAUGCACCAGAGUAGCCCAUCAUCUUAGGGUAAUUUGGGGGUGAUUAUUUUACCUGCUUUUUUUUAAAGUCUACAGGAUGGUUUCAAUACUUUAAUUUGAAUUAGUCCGGCAUCUUAAGUUACAACAGGUGUGGGGAAUCUUCAGUCCUCUAGAUGUUGCUGAAUUACAACUCCCACCAUCCUCAGCAAGCCUGACCAAUGACCAGCAAUGAUGAGAAUUGUGGUUCAGCAACAUCUGGUGGGCCAAAGAGUCCCCACGCCUGAUUUACAAUCUCCCGACACAACAUCCUUAUUGCCAUGUUUUAUUCUCACCAAAUAUACAAAUUGUCGCUUUGCUGUUUUUCGUAAAAUUAUCUGAAGGAGAAAAUUGUCAUGCAAACCAUUUGUGACCUUGAGGUUGAUCCUCAAUGCUGUCAAAAGGGAAAUAAAAGACCUUUCAUCUAAAGUCUACCACUUUUUUUUAAGCUGAAUCAUUUGGUUCUGAUCUUUCUUUCUUUCGACAGGGCAGCCUGAUCCUGGCCCAGCCUCAUCUACACCAACCGAAGGCAUGGCAAUGGCUUUGCUAAGACCUUUCUGAAACUGUGGAAGUUAGCUUGGGAAAUAUGUUAUUGUAUUCUGUGGUGACAGAUAAUAAUUGUACCUGAAACCCUGUAAUGAUAAGACAAUACAGAUAGCUUUUCCAUUCAGGAGGUUGUUUUUAUAUUAGAUACA